GAAAAUCCGUUGGCUUUAUUGACCGGGAGGGUUCAAGUCCCUCUACCCCCA
rnacentral:tRNA from 2 species